AGUUGGUUAGUGUAGUGGUUAUCACACUGGACUCUGAAUCCAGUAACCGGAGUUCGACUCUCCGACCGACUA